rnacentral:rRNA from 1 species
CCUACGGGAGGCAGCAGUGAGGAAUAUUGGUCAAUGGGCGAGAGCCUGAACCAGCCAAGUCGCGUGAAGGAUGACGGCCCUACGGGUUGUAAACUUCUUUUGUCAGGGAGCAAUUGAGUCCACGUGUGGGCUUAGCGAGAGUACCUGAAGAAAAAGCAUGGGCUAACUCCGUCCCAGCGGCCGCGGUAACACGGGGGAUGCGAGCGUUAUCGGGAUUUAUUGGGUUUAAAGGGUGCGUAGGCGGGAGAUCAAGACAGCGGUAAAAAUUCGGGGCUCAACGCAGUAGUGCCGUUGAAACUGGUGUUCUUGAGUGGAGUAGAAGUAUGCGGAAUGCGUGGUGUAGCGGUGAAAUGCUUAGAUAUCACGAAGAACUCCGAUUGCGAAGGCAGCAUACCGGCGCCCAACUGACGCUGAAGCACGAAAGCGUGGGUAUCGAACAGGAUUAGAUACCCUAGUAGUC